rnacentral:rRNA from 1 species
AUUGAACGCUGGCGGCAUGCCUUACACAUGCAAGUCGAACGGCAGCGGACCUUCGGGUGCCGGCGAGUGGCGAACGGGUGAGUAAUAUAUCGGAACGUACCUUUCAGUGGGGGAGUAACGUAGCGAAAGUUACGCUAAUACCGCAUAUUCUGUGAGCAGGAAAGCAGGGGAGUCGCAAGACCUUGCGCUGAUUGAGCGGCCGAUAUCAGAUUAGCUAGUUGGUGAGGUAAAGGCUCACCAAGGCGACGAUCUGUAGCGGGUCUGAGAGGAUGAUCCGCCACACUGGAACUGAGACACGGUCCAGACUCCUACGGGAGGCAGCAGUGGGGAAGUUUUGGUACAAUGGGCGGCAAGACCU